rnacentral:tRNA from 2 species
UCUAACGUGGCAGAUAAGUGCGGUGGAUUUAAGCUCCAAAUAUAAAGUCUAGAACUUUCAUUAGAA